GUAGAUAUAGCUCAAUCGGUAGAGUAGCUAUUUGUGGCAUAGUCAGUCCCGGUUCAAGUCCGGGUUUCUACC
rnacentral:tRNA from 2 species